rnacentral:tRNA from 1 species
GUGGUUAGAGCGCACCCCUGAUAAGGGUGAGGUCCCUGGUUCGAGUCCAGGAUGGCCCACUUGUAGCGGGGGUAUAGCUCAGUUGGUAGAGCGCCUGCUUUGCAAGCAGGAUGUCAGCGGUUCGAGUCCGCUUACCUCCAUACCCUUUGAUGAUACGGAUUUAGCACCCUAGUUGAAGAAUUAGGCUGCUGGAUGCGAAUCCAGUAAGAACCUUGACAAUUACAUAGUGAGAGAAGCAGGUAGUAGUCAAUGCUGUGAGAGCAGUGUUGAUGAACCAAGAAACAGAAAUCGAAUCUAGCCGAAUAGC